AGCCUCUCCAAAAUAUACCCAAAAACCUAUCCAGAUCCAUAUAAAAGUACAUCAUGUAUGUUUCGUGGUUUUGUACUCAAAAGUACAUCAUGUAUGUUUUGUGGAGGUGUGUGGUGGGGUGUGGAGGUGGUGGAGGUGUGUGGAGGUGGUGUAGGGGUGUGUGGAGGUGUGUAGUGGUGUGUAGUGGUGUGUGGAGGUGGUGUAGUGGUGUGUGGAGGUGGUUGGAGGUGUGUAGUGGUGUGUGGAGGUGGUGUAGUGGUGUGUGGAGGUGGUGUAGUGGGGUGUGGAGGCGUGUGGAGGUGUUGUAGUGGUGUGUGGAGGUGGUGUAGUGGGGUGUGGAGGCGUGUGGAGGUGGUGUAGUGGGGUGUAGUGGUGUGUGGAGGUGGUGUAGUGGUGUGUGGAGGUGGUGUAGUGGUGUGUGGAGGUGUGUGGAGGUGUGUGGUGGGGUGUGGUGGUGUAGUGGGGUGUGGGUGUGGAGGGAUAAGAUGAGAUGAGUUCUGUUCUGAUGAGAUGAGAUCUGUUCAGAUGAGAUGAAAUGAGUGGGGAGCGGACAGAUGCAUCUCCUGCAGGGACAUCUCUCUGGAAAAAAUAAAUCAAUUGGCAAAUGUUAC
ensembl:lncRNA